UACGUAGGGACCAAGCGUUGUUCGGAUUUACUGGGCGCAAAGGGCGCGUAGGCGGCGUGACAAGUCACUUGUGAAAUCUCUGAGCUUAACUCAGAACGGCCAAGUGAUACUGUUGUGCUAGAGUGCAGAAAGGGCAAUCGGAAUUCUUGGUGUAGCGGUGAAAUGCGUAGAUAUCAAGAGGAACACCUGAGGCGAAGGCGGGUUGCUAGGCUGACACUGACGCUGAGGCGCGAAAGCUAGGGUAGCAAACGGG
rnacentral:rRNA from 1 species